ensembl:lncRNA
CAGAAAACACCUGGUGCUGUCAGGAUGUUUAAGUGACACAGAAGUUCAGAAAAUCGAGUCAGAAAUGGUUUUGUGGCUCUUGGUAAACUGAUUUUGAAGGAAAAUCAGUGUUUAUUGUGCUGAAGUAACAGAUCCGGCGCGGUCUGACGGGAAGAAUCAGCUGCACAAUUCUGAGUGUGCAGCGUUGUUGAUAUUAGCAGAUCCGGCGCGGUCUGAGGAAAAGAAAUAAAUUGGUUAAUGGCUGAUAUAUUUAUAUGAAUUUUGGUGGAUCUGCUGAGGUCCAGAAAAUAAUCAAUGCGGACUGUGUUUGUUCGAACGUUGAUAAAUGAUCCAGGAAGAAUUGCCCUGGGUCUGUGUCUGUGUGUGUGUUGUUCAGUGACAACAUGCACAGUUUAAAAUUGGGCGCUGUUCCUUCCUCUUUUUAGUUUCAAAACACAAAGGCUGUUGGAUUAAGAAUUACUGUGUGAGGAACGGCUUCACUUUUGAUUAGGGAAAUAAUAUGCUUACUUUUGGGUUUAUGAAGAUCUCGUAACAAUCUGGGGGAGAUGCCGGGGUAAAAAAGAGUGAGCUUGGACGAAGGGGUCCGAGAAAAAGACACCGUGAGUUGAGCAAGGUGUUUUAACUGACUCAGGAUUUCAGAGAAUCGAGUCAGCUGUGAUCUUGAGUUCUAAUGAGUCAGUGUUUCCCUUCCCCUCAUACCACCCGUGCCCACUUGGCCCCCGUAUCAGGCGAAGCAUGGAAGGCUGGACAGCCCAUGACGGGUAAGAUCCCACCUCGAAACCCUGGGACAACCUAAGGCAAGGCGCAGUCACGAUUGCUUGAACCUAGGUCCCUAAGUGAGCUUGGACUCACUGGAGGAGACGGGACUUCAAGGGUAAAGCCGCUGGGGCAGAGGGGGAAAUGUCAUUAACAAUGACGAGUGAUGAGCCAAAGAGGGGAGACACUCACUGUCUUUCAGGGUGAAUUGUUCCCUGAACCUGAAAAUCAAGCUCUAACUUCUGGCUGAGGACAAGGAAUGUUGUUAUUUAAGGAGGGAGAUCAAAUUUGGGAAAGAGAAAAACUGACUGUUUAAGUGGAACCUUGUGAGGGAGUCUGAAAAAAAAAAAAAAAAACCACGAAAAGAAACAUAUACACAAUCACACACACAAAUAGAAAAUGCGUUAACCUUUGAAUAAAAAGAGCUCAUGAAGAUCAGAUGGCAGGUUUAGCAUAGGAGUCUGUUUAUCAUGUUGUCCAACUCGCUUAGUGUGUAGUAGUUUUUAGAAGAGAAAAUUUAGAAUUUAGUGUUGAUGGUGUGUAAGUUGUGUGGUGUUUAACGAGAUUUUCUGUGUAUUGAACAGGUGAGGUGAUGUUAGUUGACCUGAGAGUGUCAGGACCUUGAAGAACUUGUGGCAAAAUGUUCUGUGUUUAAGAUUGUUGAGGUUGUUGUGUAGUGAUGGGUUACUUCUAUCGGUUAGAUUUGUGUCGUUUUCUUAUUUUAAUAGAGGGAGUUUUAUCAAACAUGCACAUGUCGAAGGGGUCUAUCAUUUUUGUAACAGUGCACUUAGAAAAACCUGUCAGGUGAUUUUGUUUUGUGUUUUGAUGAGCUAAUAAUCAGCUCUCUUUUUCUCAUUUUUGUUCUAAGCAGGCCUGCAAAAGAGUGAAUAACAGCGCUGACAAAAGUCUCAGGACAACCAAGAUAAUGUGACCUUUUCCAGAUUACAAUGGGCAGAGGAGAAGGCUAAGUCUCUGUCUAAAAGGAUUGCCGCGAGCCAAUCCAGUCCAAAAGCAGAAAGAACUAUUUUCCUAAAAACAAAAUAAAACAAAUGAAUGAGCGCAUGUUGCUGAGAGUGAAGACUGAGUAUUUGCGAGGGAGUCCACACUAUCAGCAAGACCUGAUGUUAAUGCAUGUGAGUGAAUGUGUGUAAAUGGAUGGUGACUGGACGGACGAGGCAGACCAUAGGUUGGACCGACUGGACACUGGGAUAAAGACUGGACUAAGGUUGGACACAUGACUGAUAACUGUUCUGUUUUAAGUUUCCUUUCUUAUAACACAGGUUGGAUCAUAAGUGGGGAAAAACUGAGUAGGAAAUGUGAAGUUCUGGUUAACAUACAGGUUUUUGUUUCUAGGAAGUUCCAAGGAUGCAGGCUGGGGAUGGAGCCAAGAAAAGAUUUGACAUAAUGAUUAAUUUGAUUUCAUUCCUUAAACACAGGUUUGAAGAGCCGGAGCAUGAAUAUCUAAUAUGAUAUGACUAACCUUUUUCUUUUAAUCUCCUAAGCUCGAGUGAAGGAUUUUGAGUUUGUAACACAUA